rnacentral:rRNA from 1 species
CAGCAGCCGCGGUAAUACCGGCGGCCCGAGUGGCGGUCACUAUUAUUGGGCUUAAAGCGUCCGUAGCCGGGUUGGGAAGUCCUCCGGGAAAUCUGGCCGCUUAACGGUCAGAAUGCCGGAGGAUACUCCCAGCCUAGGGAGCGGGAGAGGCCGAGGGUAUUCCCGGAGUUGGGGUGAAAUCCUAUAAUCCCGGGAGGACCACCUGUGGCGAAGGCGCUCGGCUGGAACGCGUCCGACGGUGAGGGACGAAGGCCAGGGGAGCAAACCGGAUUAGAUACCCGGGUAGUCCUGGCUGUAAACGAUGCGGACUUUGUGUCGGACAAGCUAUGAGCUUGUCCGGUGCCGGAGGGAAACCGUUAAGUCCGCCGCCUGGGGAGUACGGCCGCAAGGCUGAAACUUAAAGGAAUUGGCGGG